rnacentral:rRNA from 1 species
UACGUAGGCAGCGAGCGUUGUUCGGAGUUACUGGGCGUAAAGGGUGUGUAGGCGGUUGUUUAAGUUUGGUGUGAAAUCUCCCGGCUCAACUGGGAGGGUGCGCCGAAUACUGAAUGACUUGGAGUGCGGGAGGGGUGAGUGGAAUUCCUGGUGUAGCGGUGAAAUGCGUAGAUAUCAGGAGGAACACCGGUGGUGUAGACGGCUCACUGGACCGUAACUGACGCUGAGACACGAAAGCGUGGGUAGCAAACAGG